rnacentral:rRNA from 1 species
UAUGGUAAUUGUGUGCCGCCGCGGUAAUACGUAGGGGGCAAGCGUUAUCCGGAAUUACUGGGUGUAAAGGGUGCGUAGGUGGUAUGGCAAGUCAGAAGUGAAAACCCAGGGCUUAACUCUGGGACUGCUUUUGAAACUGUCAGACUGGAGUGCAGGAGAGGUAAGCGGAAUUCCUAGUGUAGCGGUGAAAUGCGUAGAUAUUAGGAGGAACAUCAGUGGCGAAGGCGGCUUACUGGACUGAAACUGACACUGAGGCACGAAAGCGUGGGGAGCAAACAGG